rnacentral:rRNA from 1 species
UAAACCUCUGUCCUUUGGUGAAGAGGAAGAGACGGUAGCCAAGGAGGAAGCCCCCGGCUAACUACGUGCCAGCAGCCGCGGUAAUACGUAGGGGGCAAGCGUUGUCCGGAAUGAUUGGGCGUAAAGGGCGCGUAGGCGGCCCGGUAAGUCUGAAGUGAAAGUCCUGCUUUUAAGGUGGGAAUUGCUUUGGAUACUGUCGGGCUUGAGUGCAGGAGAGGUAAGUGGAAUUCCCAGUGUAGCGGUGAAAUGCGUAGAGAUUGGGAGGAACACCAGUGGCGAARGCGACUUACUGGACUGUAACUGACGCUGAGGCGCGAAAGUGUGGGGAGCAAACAGGAUUAGAUACCCUGGUAGUCCACACUGUAAAACGAUGAAUGCUAGGUGUAGGGGGUAUCGACCCCUUCUGUGCCGCAGUAAACACAAUAAGCAUUCCGCCUGGGGAGUACGGCCGCAAGGUUGAAACUCAAAGGAAUUGACGGGGGCCCGCACAAGCAGCGGAGCAUGUGGUUUAAUUCGACGCAACGCGAAGAACCUUACCAGGUCUUGACAUCCAGUAAAACUUGCAGAGAUGCAUCGUGAGCUUGCUCAUACUGAGACAGGUGGUGCAUGGUUGUCGUCAGCUCGUGUCGUGAGAUGUUGGGUUAAGUCCCGCAACGAGCGCAACCCUUACUUUCAGUUACUAACACAUUAUGGUGAGGACUCUGAAGGGACUGCCGGGGACAACUCGGAGGAAGGUGGGGACGACGUCAAAUCAUCAUGCCCCUUAUGACCUGGGCUACACACGUGCUACAAUGGCCACCACAGAGAGGAGCGAACCUGU